rnacentral:rRNA from 1 species
UGGGGAAUAUUGCACAAUGGGCGCAAGCCUGAUGCAGCGACGCCGCGUGAGGGAUGAAGGCCUUCGGGUCGUAAACCUCUGUCCAAGGGGAAGAAAAAAAUGACGGUACCCUUGGAGGAAGCCCCGGCUAACUACGUGCCAGCAGCCGCGGUAACACGUAGGGGGCAAGCGUUAUCCGGAAUUACUGGGCGUAAAGAGUGCGUAGGUGGCUGCUCAAGCGCGGGGUUUAAGGCGACGGCCCAACCGUCGACCGCCCCGCGAACUGGGCGGCUUGAGUACAGGAGAGGAAGGCGGAAUUCCUAGUGUAGCGGUGAAAUGCGUAGAUAUUAGGAGGAACACCGGUGGCGAAGGCGGCCUUCUGGACUGUCACUGACACUGAGGCACGAAAGCGUGGGUAGCA